CUUUCUUUUUUAAUAAUAUUUGUUAUCUUGUUGUGUUUAAUCCUAAUGAUUGAACAUCAUCUAGCACUGUAAUAUUUUAAAUUUCAUUUGAAAUAUUAGGUAAAGAUUUUCCAGUUAAGCAGUUGAUAUAUAUAUAUAUAUAUUUUUUUUUUUUUUUCCAGGUGAAAGAGAAAGAAAGCUGGUCUACAGAUCUUUUUGGACUUGGAGCCAUUUAUCAGCCUUACAUGUGGAUGGCCCUUUCAUUUCAUGUAAAACUAAUGAAAAAGCACUUUGCAGUGUGUAAAAGACGUUGAGAAGUUCCAUAAUCUGCCAUCUGCAAGCUGGAGACCCAGGA
rnacentral:lncRNA from 13 species